rnacentral:rRNA from 1 species
UAACCUACGGGAGGCAGCAGUGGGGGAUAUUGCACAAUGGGGGAAACCCUGAUGCAGCGACGCCGCGUGAGUGAAGAAGUAUUUCGGUAUGUAAAGCUCUAUCAGCAGGGAAGAAAAUGACGGUACCUGACUAAGAAGCCCCGGCUAACUAAGUGCCAGCAGCCGCGGUAAUACGUAGGGGGCAAGCGUUAUCCGGAUUUACUGGGUGUAAAGGGAGCGUAGACGGCAGAGCAAGUCUGAAGAGAAAGCCCGCGGCACAA